UAAUCGCAGAUCAGAAUGCUGCGGUGAAUACGUUCCCGGGUCUUGUACACACCGCCCGUCACACCAUGGGAGCCGGGAAUGCCCGAAGUCGGUGACCCAACCGUAAGGAGGGAGCCGCCGAAGGCAGGCCUGGUAACUGGGGUGAAGUCGUAACAAGGUAGC
rnacentral:rRNA from 1 species